AUGCACCUUCCAAUGCUCUUUUAGCCAAAAAAACUUCUUAUCCACUAUCUAGGUAGUUUCCUUCUAAGUUCAUUGUAUGCACCAGCCAUAAAUAAAAAAGCAGAGGCUGUUAUGUCAUCCAUGGUGAUUUGUAGAACACAAUAUAAUCAAAAUCAGCCACCGAACCUCACCGCAUCACAAUAAAAGAGAACACUGCCUUGUCUGCCAGUUGUAGUCGCAGGUCUUGUGCCUGGAAUGGAAACGGCAUGACAAACUACGUGCGACAUGUGCCUCGUCAUGGUCUCGACAUGUGCCUCGACUUGUGCCUGCGACUUGUAGGAAUGGAAAUGUAGCUUAAGGGUACUCACGGCGUAGUGCUUGAUAUCCUGACCCUAGAAAAGAUGACGUGCAGUCAGUGGUGGAUCUAGAACAGUCACAAGGAGGGGGGGACCAGGGUGUCUGAGAGGUUCGGGGGUACCCCCUCCCUCCCCAAAAAUUUGUUUAAACUAAGUCUUCAAAAAUGGCAGUUUUAUACCAUUUCUUUGUCCUAAGUUAGUGUGACAAAUUAUUUUACGCAAUUUGUAUGCACUACUGUAUUACAUGCAGUCAAAAAUAUAUGACAUAUAUUUCCAAACUGCGACUGCCCCCCCCCCCUCUGGAUCCGCCACUGGGGUGCAGGAGUACUAUACCAGAAGAGCACAAAAUAUAGACUUUUCCUGCUGUCGUCUCAAACGUACCUAGAAUAGCUAUCCUCGUUCUACUAUUAACUACAACUCAUAACUGCCUACUCAUUUGCAGGAGAUGGAUGCACCCUCCUUCAGAAGGCGCUGAAAGGAAUACUAAUUAUAGGCCGCUGUACUCCGUAAAAGAACUUAAGGAAGAGCACCUAGUGAGAUAAGUGUAUGUCUGCCAUAUCAUCCGUUAAACAGCCAGAUUUUUGAAGGAAGAAAGAUGUAGCCCCAGCUCUGGACAAAAAUAUUAUGGAGAAGGUUGGCCGCUGUACAGGGCAGCUAUAGUUAUUAUUAUAUGUUGCCUUUUAUUGUUAUGUACUGUUUUUAUACUUUACCAAUAAACCUUAUAUUUAUCUA